AUUGAACGCUGGCGGCAGGCCUAACACAUGCAAGUCGAGCGGAGGAAGGGAGCUUGCUCCUUGAUUCAGCAGCGGGCGGGUGAGUAAUGCCUAGGAAGCUGCCUGGUAGGGGAGGAUAACGUCCGUUAAGGGGCGCUAAUGCCGCAUACGUCCUUAGGGCGAGAGUGGUGGAUCUUCGGACCUCACGCUAUCAGAUGACCCUAGGUCGGAUUAGCUAGUUGGUGGGGUAAAGGCCUACCAAGGCGACGAUCCGUAACUGGUCUGAGAGGCUGAUCAGUCACACUGGAACUGAGACACGGUCCAGACUCCUACGGGAGGCAGCAGUGGGGAAUAUUGGACAAUGGGCGAAAGCCUGACCCAGCCAUGCCGCGUGUGUGAAGAAGGUCUUCGGAUUGUAAAGCACUUUAAGUUGGGAGGAAGGGCAGUAAGCUAAUACCUUGCUGUUUUGACGUUACCAACAGAAUAAGCACCGGCUAACUUCGUG
rnacentral:rRNA from 1 species